AUGCUGGAAUUUCUCGAGAAGAAGCUGAAGCAAGUUGAGAACAGAGCUAGUUUCCUAUCUUGUGUUCUCAGUGGUGAUAUCAAGAUCAUUCCCAGGAAGCAAAAGGAGCUUCUACAAGAGAUUGCUGAAAAGGGAUUUGAUCCCCUCCCAAAGGAGGUUCUGCCUGCUGCCGUAGGAGCAACAAGAGACAGGGAAGAAAAUGGAAGAAGCCCUGAUGUACAUGCCAGUGAUUAUGAGUAUCUCACCUCCAUGACAAUUUCUACUUUAAAUGAGGGGUACCUGGAGCAUCUUCUAGUACUAAAGAAGAGGUUUGAAACUAAAGUUGAACUCCUGAGAAGAGCUACACCGGAAUGUCUGAAAUCUGAAAAGAAACGAACUGUAACUCAGAUAAGUCCUGAUAUACAGUUUCUUGAUGCAAACUAUAUAAAAGCUCAAUCAGAUAGAAAGGUUGUGAUAGUCAUUGAUUGCAAACACAACAAUGUAUUUGAAGCAGCCCCCAGGAGAUAA
rnacentral:rRNA from 1 species